UAUAUAUAAAUAUAUUAUGCAGAUAGAAAAAAUCACAGCUAUGUCAUAAUAAAAAAGAGCAUGCAGAAUAAAAGUGUAUUGAUGCUCACAUACACGCACGCACGCAGGCCAGAAGAGAGUUUCAUUUUUGUUCGUACACAUCGCCAUUAUCAUUGUCAUUAUAUAUAUAUAUUUUUUUAGUUUUGCUUGGUUGGUUGGUUGCUUGCUCCGUUUUAAAAAACGAGUAAAAAUAAGGAAAGGUGCAAACUGUUACCUUUAUUAUUCGGUCAAGUCAAGCAAACCUCGGGGGUCCACGAGAUACCGACGCAUUCCCAGAGAGCCAAAGCAACGUAAAUGUAAUACACACUGUGUCUGAGGAACAGGGAAUUUUCUGGAUUUCAAGGAGAAUAGGAUAGAUUCAAUGAAUUUAGAAGGUUCGAUAAUGAAACGAUUAUUAGUUUAUAGCUUGCCUUUAAUUCGUACGAGAACACUACGACGAUUAAUGAUGGUAAUGCAGGAAUCGAAUUAGUAAAGCAUUAUGACGUGAUUCGAUGGUUAUGGAUAUUGAUUAUGGCAAUUCGGAUAAAGAUGGAUUUGUUUAAUCUUUCAAGAUGUAUAAUUCAGGAUAUUCAAGGAUGAUCUCGACCUCGACGUUAUUUUUUAUUAUAAAAUACAUAUUCGUUGGAGAAUUCGCAUUUAUUAAAUUUCGAGUUUUCAAUAAUCUCUUAAGACGCAAUAAAAUUUUCAGUGGCAAAAAAAAUAUUUAAAUACUAAAUUUAAAUACUACUAAAUACGCUUAAUCAAAUAUCUACUAAAAAUUAAUUAAUAAUUACAAAUUCUAAAUAGCUGGACUAAAGUUAUUAACAAUAAACUCAAUUAAAUAACUCUCUAAAAAGUUUGCGAACAAAAAACAAAUAACAAAUAUUCGUCAGACUAUUAUUAGACUAUUAUUAAUUCUAAAAAUAAAAUCCAACAAAUACAAA